rnacentral:rRNA from 1 species
GAGUUUGAUCGUGGCUCAGAACGAACGCUGGCGGCAUGCCUAACACAUGCAAGUCGAACGAGACCUUCGGGUCUAGUGGCGCACGGGUGCGUAACGCGUGGGAAUCUGCCCUUGGGUUCGGAAUAACAGUUAGAAAUGACUGCUAAUACCGAAUGAUGUCUUCGGACCAAAGAUUUAUCGCCCAGGGAUGAGCCCGCGUCGGAUUAGCUAGUUGGUGAGGUAAAGGCUCACCAAGGCGACGAUCCGUAGCUGGUCUGAGAGGAUGAUCAGCCACACUGGGACUGAGACACGGCCCAGACUCCUACGGGAGGCAGCAGUGGGGAAUAUUGGACAAUGGGCGAAAGCCUGAUCCAGCAAUGCCGCGUGAGUGAUGAAGGCCUUAGGGUUGUAAAGCUCUUUUACCCGGGAUGAUAAUGACAGUACCGGGAGAAUAAGCCCCGGCUAACUCCGUGCCAGCAGCCGCCGCGGU